rnacentral:rRNA from 1 species
UAGGGAAUCUUCGGCAAUGGACGAAAGUCUGACCGAGCAACGCCGCGUGAGUGAAGAAGGUUUUCGGAUCGUAAAACUCUGUUGUUAGAGAAGAACAAGGACGUUAGUAACUGAACGUCCCCUGACGGUAUCUAACCAGAAAGCCACGGCUAACUACGUGCCAGCAGCCGCGGUAAUACGUAGGUGGCAAGAGUUGUCCGGAUUUAUUGGGCGUAAAGCGAGCGCAGGCGGUUUCUUAAGUCUGAUGUGAAAGCCCCCGGCUCAACCGGGGAGGGUCAUUGGAAACUGGGAGACGGGAGUGAAGAAGAGGAGAGUGGAAUUCCAUGUGUAGCGGUGAAAUGCAUAGAUAUAUGGAGGAACACCAGUGGCGAAGGCGGCUCUCUGGUCUGUAACUGACGCUGAGGCUCGAAAGCGUGGGGAGCAAACAGG